GUGGGGAAUCUUCCACAAUGGACGAAAGUCUGAUGGAGCAACGCCGCGUGAGUGAAGAAGGGUUUCGGCUCGUAAAGCUCUGUUGUCGGGGACGAAUGUGCAGUAUUUGAAUAAAGUAUUGCAAUGACGGUACCUGACGAGGAAGCCACGGCUAACUACGUGCCAGCAGCCGCGGUAAUACGUAGGUGGCAAGCGUUGUCCGGAAUUAUUGGGCGUAAAGGGAGCGCAGGCGGGAAGGUAAGUCGGUCUUAAAAGUGCGGGGCUCAACCCCGUGAUGGGAUCGAAACUAUCUUUCUUGAGUGCAGGAGAGGAAAGUGGAAUUCCUAGUGUAGCGGUGAAAUGCGUAGAUAUUAGGAGGAACACCAGUGGCGAAGGCGACUUUCUGGACUGUAACUGACGCUGAGGCUCGAAAGCCAGGGGAGCGAACGGGAUUAGAAACCCCAGUAGUCC
rnacentral:rRNA from 1 species